rnacentral:rRNA from 1 species
UACGGGGGGAGCAAGCGUUGUUCGGAUUUACUGGGCGUAAAGGGCGCGUAGGCGGUAGCACAAGUCAGUUGUGAAAUCUCCGGGCUUAACUCGGAAAGGUCAGCCGAUACUGCGGGGCUAGAGUGCAGAAGGGGCAACUGGAAUUCUCGGUGUAGCGGUGAAAUGCGUAGAUAUCGAGAGGAACACCUGCGGCGAAGGCGGGUUGCUGGGCUGACACUGACGCUGAUGCGCGAAAGCUAGGGGAGCGAACGGG